rnacentral:rRNA from 1 species
GAGUUUGAUCGUGGCUCAGAUUGAACGCUGGCGGCAUGCCUUACACAUGCAAGUCGAACGGCAGCAUGAUCUAGCUUGCUAGAUUGAUGGCGAGUGGCGAACGGGUGAGUAAUACAUCGGAACGUGCCCUGUAGUGGGGAUAACUAGUCGAAAGAUUAGCUAAUACCGCAUACGACCUGAGGGUGAAAGUGGGGGACCGCAAGGCCUCAUGCUAUAGGAGCGGCCGAUGUCUGAUUAGCUAGUUGGUGGGUAAAGGCCCGACCAAGGCGACGAUCAGUAGCUGGUCUGAGAGGACGAUCAGCCACACUGGGACUGAGACACGGCCCAGACUCCUACGGGAGGCAGCAGUGGGGAAUUUUGGACAAUGGGCGAAAGCCUGAUCCAGCAAUGCCGCGUGUGUGAAGAAGGCC